AGAAAGAAGUUUGGAAAAGUGCCAGUUCUCUGAUCAAACCUGAAGUAGGAUGGGCAGAGAAGGGUGUUGACAUUUGAGGAUGCUGUCAAGUCAAUGGAGCUCUGUUGUAGUGGUUGCUUCAGUGAACAUUCAACGCUGUCGGCCUUAACACCGAGGAUAGCAACCUAACCACCACAUGAUGUUUCUCCCCCAUCCUGACAAGCUUUACAAAAAAGGUCACAAUCAACAUUCAUUGCUGUCGGUGGGUUUAACUAUGUGGACAAGCUCACUGAACAAUGAAUGCAACUGUGGCCCCACACAUUUACAGUUGCUGGUGAGAGGAACAUCAGCUCUGAGAGCAGUAGUGAGAAGAAAAUACUUCUUAUAGGCUCUAUUUUUCUGGUGAAAAAAUAGUUGAGGACAUCCACUGUUUGCUUGUGUGUUUUUAGGUGUGUUUAAUUUCGCUGACUAGAAAAUAGAAAAUCACUGCCUUUUUCCAGAAUAUGUCUUCCCAGGGUUCGGUGCUGUUGAAACCAUACAGAUCUUUACUCAGUGGGUAUAUGAAAAUAAAUAAUAUAGUGAGUUUUAUGUAUAUUCUCCUAAUGACUAACUGCACGAGAAAUGAGUAGUAAAAAGCUCAAUUUUAAGCAGGCAUUCUGGAGCAGUUUAAAAAUUUCUACUAUAACUGUCAAAUACAAAUUGGAAGCCAGAUUUUAAAAAUAAGGAUAAAAUGUUAUAUCAAAAAUUAAUUCAUUUUACAUUAAUUUUAAGUACCUAAAGAAAUACUAUUAAGCACAUACUAUCAUAUGGGAAUUUUUAGGGAUCCUAAAGAUAACAGAAAAAUGUAUAUCCAGAAACAAUAAUGGAACAGUAGUUAAACCAUAAAAUUACUGUAACCUUUGGAUAUCUAUGUCACACUCUUGGUAUUGCUGAUAGUAAAAAGUAAA